rnacentral:tRNA from 1 species
GCGCCCGUGGCGGAAUCGGUAGACGCCCGAGACUUAAAAUCUUGUGACUUCGGUCGUGCCGGUUCGACUCCGGCCGGGCGCACCA